ACGGCUGUUGGCACGGGUCGCGUCCGUCGACGUCCGAGGACGGCGUGCACUUCUCUCUUAGUAAAUACAUCGCGACCCGUUCGAUGUCGGUCUAAGCGCCGUACGGGAGCCCCGUUGCCCCUUCGCGGGGGUAGUGGGACCGCGACGGUGGCCGACCGGCCGUCGGACGGUAGUUCUGACGAAUCGCGCACGCGUUCUACACGCGUCCGGCCCGACGCAAGUCAACGUCGUAUCAUACGUCUACGCCAUAGUGCGGACGUGUGUGCGGCGCGUCUGGUGUCGCAGCCGUGCUGUCUCGGACUGUGCGCGUCUC
rnacentral:rRNA from 1 species